rnacentral:rRNA from 1 species
UACGGAGGGUGCAAGCGUUGUUCGGAUUUAUUGGGCGUAAAGCGCGUGUAGGCGGUUUCUUAAGUCUGAUGUGAAAGCCCCGGGCUCAACCCGGGAAGUGCAUUGGAUACUGGGAGACUUGAAUACGGGAGAGGGUAGUGGAAUUCCUAGUGUAGGAGUGAAAUCCGUAGAUAUUAGGAGGAACACCGGUGGCGAAGGCGGCUACCUGGACCGAUAUUGACGCUGAGACGCGAAAGCGUGGGGAGCGAACAGG